rnacentral:rRNA from 1 species
CGAUUGCUCAGUAACACGUGGACAACCUGCCCUGAGGACUGGAAUAAUCCCGGGAAACUGGGGGUAAUUCCAGAUAUGUCAGAACUCCUGGAAUGGGUUCUGGCAGAAAGGCUCCGGCGCCUCAGGAUGGGUCUGCGGCCUAUCAGGGUAGUAGUGGGUGUAACGUACCUACUAGCCUACGACGGGUACGGGUUGUGAGAGCAAGAGCCCGGAGAUGGAUUCUGAGACAUGAAUCCAGGCCCCACGGGGUGCAGCAGGCGCGAAAACUUUACAAUGCGGGCAACCGCGAUAAGGGGACCUCGAGUGCUGGGUUACAAACCUGGCUGUUGGGCUGCCUAAAAAGCAGUCUAUAGCAAGGGCCGGGCAAGACCGGUGCCAGCCGCCGCGGUAACACCGGCGGCUCGAGUGGUAACCGCUAUUAUUGGGUCUAAAGGGUCUGUAGCCGGCCGACUAAGUCUCUUGGGAAAUCUGGCAUCUCAAGUGUCAGGCUGCCAGGGGAUACUGGUCGGCUUGGGACCGGGAGAGGUGAGAGGUACCUCGGGGGUAGGGGGUGAAAUCUUGUAAUCCUCGAGGGACCACCAGUGGCGAAGGCGUCUCACCAGAACGGAUCCAACGGCAAGGGACGAAAGCUAGGGGCACGAACCGGAUUAGAUACCCGGG